rnacentral:rRNA from 1 species
UACGUAGGGUGCAAGCGUUGUCCGGAAUUAUUGGGCGUAAAGAGCUCGUAGGCGGUUUGUCGCGUCUGCUGUGAAAACCCGAGGCUCAACCUCGGCCUGCAGUCGGUAGGGCGAGACUAGAGUGCGGUAGGGGAGAUUGGAAUUCCUGGUGUAGCGGUGGAAUGCGCAGAUAUCAGGAGGAACACCAGUGGCGAAGGCAGGAAUCUCUG